rnacentral:rRNA from 1 species
GGAGUUUGAUCAUGGCUCAGGAUGAACGCUAGCGGCAGGCUUAACACAUGCAAGUCGAGGGGUAUAGUUCUUCGGAAUUAGAGACCGGCGCACGGGUGCGUAACGCGUAUGCAAUCUACCUUUCACAGAGGGAUAGCCCAGAGAAAUUUGGAUUAAUACCUCAUAGUAUAACGACUCUGCAUGGAGAUGUUAUUAAAGUCACAACGGUGAAAGAUGAGCAUGCGUCCCAUUAGCUAGUUGGUAAGGUAACGGCUUACCAAGGCUACGAUGGGUAGGGGUCCUGAGAGGGAGAUCCCCCACACUGGUACUGAGACACGGACCAGACUCCUACGGGAGGCAGCAGUGAGGAAUAUUGGACAAUGGGCGCAAGCCUGAUCCAGCCAUGCCGCGUGCAGGAUGACGGUCCUAUGGAUUGUAAACUGCUUUUGCACAGGAAGAAACAACGCUACGUGUAGCGUCUUGACGGUACUGUGAGAAUAAGGAUCGGCUAACUCCGUGCCAGCAGCCGCGGUAAUACGGAGGAUCCAAGCGUUAUCCGGAAUCAUUGGGUUUAAAGGGUCCGUAAGCGGUUUAGUAAGUCAGUGGUGAAAGCCCACCGCUCAACGGUGGAACGGCCAUUGAUACUGCUAGACUUGAAUUAUU